rnacentral:lncRNA from 1 species
AAAGUAAAUGGUAAAAGAAAUAGAGAGCAUAAGAUAAGGACAUUAAAGUAAAGUUAAUAUAAUAAAAUGUUAGUAAGUGGUGUUAGUAAUCAAAAAAUAAAAAGAUGAUUUGCCAUUUUUGGAGAACACUCAACUAUUCACUCACGAGUAUGAAAAUAUGGACCUCUAUAUCACGGUGAGAAGGGUUCCAACUUGGAUAAAAU